rnacentral:lncRNA from 1 species
GGGAAAGAAAAGUAGGUUAAGUGGUGGGACCAUUGAUUUUUAAUGUAUAAAAAGAAGAUAGUGAAGUAAAAGUAGUGUGAAAAGAGAAGAAAAGUAGAGAAGUAAUGGGAUCCGUUGACUAUUUUUGAAAAGUUUUAAAAUGUAAAGAAUUAGAUAUAACAGUCCUAAUAAAAAAAUGUAAAGAAAUGGGAGGGACUACAGGCUGCAACUUGCAUGUUUUUCGAGGAUUAACAUGAAAAUUAAGUGAUUUGAUAAAAUAGAAGAAGAUGAGAUUAGUGAAGAAGAUUAAGAUGAAAGUUAAUUAAUCUAGUUGACCUUGUUUCAUUACAUCAAACGCAACGAAUCGAAAGCGUGGAAAGAGAUUUACGAUUAAAUUACUCUGGGGCUGCGAAUGAGAUAACUUAGAUUAAUAAUACUCUGAC